ensembl:snRNA U6 U6 spliceosomal RNA
CUGCUAGCUCCAGCAACACGUAUACUAAAAUUGGAACAAUGCAGAGAAGAUUAGCAUGUCCCUGUGCAAUGAUGACACACAAAUUGUGCAGUGUUCCAUUUUUUU